CAACCGCAGGCAAGUGAUCUGUUAAAGCAUGUCAAAACGUGAUGUGUCUUUUCACGUUUCAAACAAUACAUCACAAUCCCAAACAAGGCCUAACCCCAGCUAUGAGUGUUGCGAGCGUUUCAGGUGGUGGUGAUGGUGUGUAAUCGUUGUUGCGGUGACUGUUUUCAUGUCUUCCGUUGUCUUUUUAUUCGUCGUGGGAGAAAACAUCCAGUAACGCUAGAUUUUGACUUACGAAGUUCAGAUCCCACUGUUUUUUUGCUGCUGUUUUCUUCCACCCCUUCACUCACCACCGCUUAAUGGUAAAAGUUAGUCACGUGUUUUUUUAUUGCGAUCUGUGGUAACAUUUAGUCAGACUUGUUCAGUUGUAUCCUCCGCUCACAGCGCCCUUGAAUUAUACUCAGCUCCAUUUUUCACCAGUGAUGUGAAGGUCUGGUGGUAAACAUGCAGAACAGUUGCUCUCGUCAUUCAUGUUAUUAAGAGAAGAAAAAGAAAAAUAUACAUACAAGUGUAAGUACUGAGUUGUUGUGUUCGAGCACUUGAAUACUUCAGUCACUCGAUUAAGACGCUGUGAGUGUUGUCUCACUUAAGGCCUUGCCACAUUUUACGACCUUAGUUUUUUGAGCUACGGACACUUGGGUCAUUCUUUGAAUUGUACGUGGGUUCUUCGUAUAAAUAUUUUGUCACUUUUGCAUUAGUAUUUUUAUUUCCAGUUACAUGCAUCCUCCAAUGUUAUAAAUGAGAGAGAGUAAAUCGAAAACCUGAAUUUGUUUAGAUGUGUCCUUCACUGCCUUUCCAUUUUAGAAUUUUUUUAAAAAUAAAUGUUGGAUUGCAUGAAUUAUUGCAUUUACAUUCCACCACGUCUAUACGUCUAUUUAGUUAUACAAUAUUUCGUAUUAUUUGUUCUUUCUUCACAUUCUUCACAUUCCCAGAUGUGUGUCUUGUAGCGCUUUAAUCAAAGUAUCAAGCCACAGUGUUCACAAUUUUUUUUUUUUUUUUUUGCGCAACAGUCACAAGUCGUUUUUCCUUAUCAUCCUUAUCGAGCUGUCACUAGUGGGUCCUCACUUUAAAGUCUGUUGCAUCAAUUUAAGCAUGCUGUAUAUGAUAAGCGAUAGCAUGAGAUCUGUUUCAGUGUUGCCUCUCCUGUUUCCUAACAGACGCCCACAACGGGCGUAGAUCGCGUCUGCUGGAGAGAGAAGGAUGACUCACUUUGUCGCAAAGGUCCCUCGGUUGUCUGUCUACUUAUAACCGUGGAAAGAAGAACAAAAGAAACCUUGACUUUGGGCAAACAAGACCCCGGGUGCAAUCUUUGUUUCGCCCAGCUAACGUGGAUCACAGCUCACAACACUUCUGUCCAGCAGUCUCGACCAUCAAAAGCUCGCCGGCAUGGAGUGUUCUGAGUGCAAAGGGCGAUUACGAGAACCCAAGGUGUUCUGCUGCACCAGGCUGUGCAAGCGUGUCUUCAGAAGCACAUCGACAGUUCCGGCGAGAGGGCAGUCACGUGCCUGGUCUGCCGCGCAUGCGUGACGGUGCCGGACAAAGAGCGUCCCAAAGACACUGGGCUGAGCAGUUCCGCACCGAUGGCUUCCUGCUGCGCUUGCAGGGGGCAGGGGGUCAGAUGUCGCGGAAACACGACUGUUUCGUGUGCGCAGGCUCCCGCCAUGAGAGCAAGGAGGCCACCGUCUACUGCUUCGACUGCGACAACUACUUCUGCGGCGCCUGCAACCAGGUGCACCUGCAGCUGCGGGGAUUCGACUCCCACUCCACGGGCGUGCUGGAGGAGUUGCUCCUGAAGGACAUGAUGACAAGACGGCGCGCCUUCUGCUCCGUGCACACCAGCAGUCCACGUGGACAGCUUCUGCAGCGAGUGCAACGCGCUGCUGUGCAAAAACUGCGUGCACGAGAAGCACCUGAACUGCCUCGUGCAGCCCAUGUCAAAGAUCGCGAAAGAAAAGCGACAGAUGCUUGUGAUCUGAAGAAGAAGUUGGAGCAGGUCAUCAAACGAGUGGAAGAUGAAAAUGAAGACCUGCAAGACAGAGAGACCUGGAUGAUGACAUGUGCUCAGCAACGACGAGAAGAGAUAGAGCUGGCCUUCAGUCGCAUCGAAGCUGCUGUCGCAGAAAGGAAAGCUCGUCUCCUUGCAGAAGUCGAAGACAACAUUUCUAAUCACAAAGAAUGUCACCUGAAAGGAGAACCAUUCCAGACUUUGGUUGGCACCUUAAAGAGAAACUGUGCGCUGGCUGAUGAAAUACUGGGUUGUGGAUCUGACUUUGACAUCUUGGAAUCUGCCGACGAUUUGGCGCGCCAGUGCCGCUCGCUCCACAAGAUGAGCCAGAAGGAAUCAACGUUGGGUGCUGACAUCCGAAGAACAAAAUCGCCCGUGGAUUCCUUGUCAGUCAACACGUUAAUCACAAUGAUCGGGCACUGGGCAAUAAUAAGAUUGACCAGCUAGUGGCCUUCAAGACUAGGGAGGUGCCUGUUGUCAUGCGCGAGGACAAAGCAUCGCCCAAAAUCGCGAAAAUCCUGGUGGUCGACAGCAGCAUCCUUCUUGUAGCGGACAGCGCCAACAGGUGCAUCAAGUCCGUGGUGUCGCUGCCAGGUGAGAGGGACUGCCGGCUACACCGCUUGGACCUGGACACCCGACCACGAGGGUUGACGCUGCUGAAGACCCACAUUCGCAGUCGUGUCUGGUCGCCAGAGUCUGCACAUCAUCACCAUCACGGAUGAGCAGCUUUCCAUUAAGGUCACAGUUUCAACCCAACAGGACUACUGGGAUAUCGCGUCCGUCAACUCCAUCAACGUGGCCGCUGUCUGCAAGCAGCCGCCCUGCAUCGACAUCAUCGACAUCGCCGGCACCCGCCUCCGCACCGUUGAGCCGGUCGUGUCGGGCGUGAUGUUGUUCAAGCAGCCAUCGGUCGUCGCCGCUGGACCAAACGGUACAAUCUUCGUGACUGACCGCGAGAACAAGACUCUCGCGUGUCUCGACCUCCAGGGUCGCGUACGCUUUGUGUAUCGAGGCGACGAACGAGAAGAACUAACAGAUCCCCGAGGCGCAUGCGUGGACGAAAGAGGCUGCGUGUUUCUGUUGGACUCGAACGACGUAUAUGUCAUCUCCUCCCAAGGGAAGCAAAUGUCCAAGGUUCUGUCCGGGCUUCUCAAGCCAAAGACGAUAAGCGUCGGCGCGGACAAUGUUAUGGCCGUAGCGAUGGAAGAACAAGGGAUCGUGCUUUUUGCCCUGAAUGAUAUGAAAGGCUCACAUGUCUGAAAACCCACUCUUUGGCACUCAUAUAAGUUGAAAAUGAAACGAUUGCCAACGACUUACUUCCCAAGUUUGAUUUACAUAAAUGUGUUUGUUCAGAGGCUAUGAUACCAUGCAAACUGCUCGGCUUUCAAGAUUAAGCAACUGUUAUUAUUUUUACCCUGAAUAUAUCUGGUGACCUCUCUCACUCUCAGCCACUAAAAUCGCUUCUAAAUUUUUCAAUAAAAGGCACAUUUCUUUUUUUGUGUGUGAAAAAGCGAAACUUU